GGGCGAGUGGCGGAACUGGUAUACGCGCGGGACUCAAAAUCCCGUUCUCGCAAGGGAUUGAGGGUUCGAUUCCCUCCUCGCCCACCA
rnacentral:tRNA from 1 species